UACGUAGGCAGCAAGCGUUGUUCGGAGUUACUGGGCGUAAAGGGUGUGUAGGCGGUUAUUUAAGUUUGGUGUGAAAUCUCCCGGCUCAACCGGGAGGGUGCGCCGAAUACUGAAUGACUUGGAGUGCGGGAGAGGAAAGUGGAAUUCCUGGUGUAGCGGUGAAAUGCGUAGAUAUCAGGAGGAACACCGGUGGUGUAGACGGCUUUCUGGACCGUAACUGACGCUGAGACACGAAAGCGUGGGGAGCGAUCCGG
rnacentral:rRNA from 1 species